AUGGAUCUGAAGUGGAAUGCGAAUGAGCAGAUAUGUUCUGGAUGUUUAAGACAUUUAUUGACUCUCAGACUUCAGUUUUGCCCAAAGCAGAAUGAAGUUAAACAAUUGUGGGUUAAUGAUUUUUAUUUUGACAUGAGGACAGCAAUGGGGGAGACUCUGCAAGGACCCAGAAAGUGCACUAAUAAAUUGCUGGAUUUCUGUGUAGGAAACUUUCGUGCCUACAUCCUUUCCAUCUUUCACCUUGCAUGUGCAUGACAUGGCCCCAAACAUGGUUUCAACCAAAAGAAACAAAGAGAUAUUAAAGAAGAGCAUCAGAUGAUUUUGGAAGAAAAAAAAGAAGUAAAAAAGUAGUGCUUGAAAGUUUCCAGAGCAGAUGAGAAAUAAACAGACCAAGCAUCUCA
rnacentral:lncRNA from 1 species